rnacentral:rRNA from 1 species
AACAUAGCCUUAAGUUUUAUUUAAGGUGAGACCUGCCCAGUGCUAAUUGUUAACGGCCGCAGUACCUUGACUGUGCUAAGGUAGCAUAAUCAGUUGGCUUUUAAAUGGAGUCGGGAAUGAAUGGAUUAAUGGAGUAAAGCUGUCUCUUUUAUAUUAUAUUGAAUUUUUUUAUUAGGUGAAAAUACCUAAAUUUAGAAAAAAGACGAGAAGACCCUAGGAGUUUUAAUUAAGAGUUUUAUUUAAACUUACAUUUUUGUUGGGGCGACAAUGGAGUAAUAUUAAACCUCCUUUCUUAACAUGCCGACUAAGUAUGGAAGUAUAAACUACCCUAGGGAUAACAGCGUAAUUCUUUUUGAGCUUGCGACCUCGAUGUUGGACUAGGAAUUUGGUAGGCUAGCCGCCUAUUUAUAUUGUUCUGUUCGAACUGUUUUUCCU